CUGUUGACUGCUGGAGGCUUUUGAUUUUUUUAAGUUAAGCGAAGUGGAAAUAGUUGAUUGAGAUCCUAAAGAAGAAUCAUGUGACCUGAGUGAAAAGAAACCCACAAGCCAUUGGUCUUAGAGUUGAUGUCAAAUAAAUCACGCAGAAUGCUGCCCGUAUAUCAUGAAAGGACUUUCUGUUUUUCCCCAGAGCAGACUAGACCUAUCUUAGAUACAUGCUUACCUUAUUUCUGUUGUUUGGUGUCUGUGUGGACAGAUGAUUGAAACAGCUGUGGACUUGCCUGACACUAUGUCAUCAGCUAUUGGAAAGAGUGCUUUGAACAAAGACAUCGUGGGCCCCCUGAAGGGAAGAGGAAGCCACAAACAGCAUCAGAACGUGAAGAAAAUGUAGGUCACAGCUGCUACCCUUGGGACCGGGAGCACACUUUUAUACCUCAUGACGCUGAAAGCAUGAGAAGGAUGCAGGGGGAAUAUAUGCAUCAUCUCAGAGUACAAAGGGCAUAAAUAAUGAGUGGCAAGAGCAGGAUGAACAGCUGUAAGCAGUGUCGUGGUCAUGUAUCCAACAUGUGAGAGCAGCUUUACAGUAACAUCGGAAUCCUUGGAAAGAUGGCUUUUUCUUUCCUAAAAUAAUAAUAGCAGAGUCAGAUGAUAACACUGCCCAGCAAGGAGACCAGUCAGAAUGGCAACAAAAUAUUAAAAAUGCCACACUGACUGCAUCCUGAUGGCCACUGGCACUGUGUUCACCAUUGCCGAGGACACUGCAUGCUAAUCAUGACCAAGGUACAGAGUCAUGAGUCUGUUUCUCUGAAGAAGGUACAAGAGGAUCCAUCCAGCUGGUUGUGAUUCUCAGAUGGUAUCAGAAGUGGGAUUUGAAGUGGAGCUUCUAGCAACCCCCAGGAGCACUGAGUCAACAUGCAAGCUUGGCCCCAGUGCAAUGGUACAGCAAACUGAGUCAGUAGGGUCACUCAGGGAAAGGGAACCCAGAAGCCCGGCAUGCUGGCAAAAGGGUAAGAAUUUCUUACCAGUUAGAUUUUUGGCUUCUCUCUCUCUGUACAGUUGAAUGAAUGGUAAAAAUUACUGUUUACCUCUUCUUUAAAGUUUUGAUUAAUGCAAAAAUGAAUUCUGGGGAUAAUCUUAAACUAAUGUAUUUAUGCUAUGAAUUUGUUUUUCUGGGUUGAAGGGUACCUUAGGAUAAAGCAUGGACUUAGGCCCUCAUAAGUUUUUUUUUGCUCAAGACAGCCCAGCAAGCUGGUCAAUAACAAACUUUCCUGCAGGUCCCUGAAACAAAAAAACUGGAUUGGACCUCUAUUUUGCUUUAUGUCCUUGGGAACUUGACCUUGUAACCAUGUGGUAGUAUUUUCUCUUAGUCUUUGCCUUCCAGGGAACAGGAAUUUUAGGGUUUAUGUCAUAGUUAGCUCUAAAAAUUAUCUUUAGUUAAAAGUUUUUGCAAGUUCAAAGUCAACUACUCUAUAGACUCCUUUUGGGAAGGACAGUAGAGACUGCUCUGUGCUGUAGCUCAGUAUCUAAGAUUUUGGAAAUAAGUCCUUUUUGGUUUAAUAUCUGCAUAACUUUGUAUUGUUUCUUCUCCUCUAUGAACUAUCUUAAAUUUUCCUUUCUCUGAGCACCUGGGAGGUUACCUUUGAUAAAGUUCAAAAGCCAGAAUUAUUGACUGGCCUCACUAAAAUUGGGUGAUAAUAAAUUUUAAAAGGAUUUUAUUAAAGAGUACUAUAGUUAAAAUUCAGCUUAACUAAAAGUGGAUAUUCAAGCUCUAACAGGAACUCCUUGGGAAAAACAGGAGGCACCUGAAACCCCUUUUCUGGCCAUGUUGUUCCAAGGGCUCCAUCCUAAAGCCAAUAACCAAUUAAGAAACUAAAAACUGGCAAAUAAAAAAUCUGACAACUACUGAAGUAAUCUUCUUCUGUCUGUGUGAUUAUCUAAUGUGUUGUGUGUAAUGUUUAUUUAAAAGAGCUCUAAGUAAUUAAUAGGUUUAAACAAAAAUGAGCACCCAGCAAAAUAAAAACCGUAAUGCCUUUUCAUUUAUGUAACUUUAGUAAUCUUUGGGAAAUAAAAAAUAGCUUUAAAGAUUAUUGAUAAAAUAAAGACAUUUUGUCUAAAUUAUAUAGCUCAGACUUUAGGUUUGCUAAAUGCUUUAAGAUCAUAAACUGCUUUGACUUUUGAAAAUUGUUCAAAUUAUUUUGGAGACAUUAAGUUCUAAAUAAGUCCUACAAAUACAUGGAGUUAGCCAUGCCCCCUAGCUAUGCAAAGAAAGUUAUAAAGAAAGGAAAUUUUAUAUAAGAAAGAAUGUUAUAUUAUGGUAAAUUCUUGUCCCAAAGUAAAAUAACUAGUUGUUUUAAUAGAGGGAUGUUUAAGGAAAGUCAGAAAGUCAAAACAUGUUAUACAUGGCCUGUAUAAGUCAUGAAAGAAUUUAUGACAAGAAAUUUAUGCCAGAAAUGUACAAUUUAAAGGUGAUUAGGCCUCUUAAAUGCUUCAUAAAAUGUCACUAUUACUCUUAACUGUACAUCUUGCCUGUUUUACAGCUAGGCAAGGUGUGGGACAUGUGGCGUUAGAUGCUGGAAAGAGUCAGACCUUAUCUGCAUUUCUCUCUGGGUCCUAAGCUCCAUACCUAGUACAUAAUUAAAAUCCCUUACUCAUCCAGGUUUUCACCAAAAGUAAAAGUUGCUAAGAGUUAACAUUGUAAUAUGUAGUUGAGAUUAAUGAAAAAUAUAGGUUUACGUGCAAAGUGUGUAAGGAGAAUGAAAUGUAUUUUUUUUGUAAGAGAUUAGAAGAGAGUGUGGGAAUGUAAAUUUUUGCCUAGGUUGGAGGGUUAGAGAACUGUUUUAAAUUAAAUAAAGCUUGAACAAGUUUUGGAAAUCCUAGGGUGCUCUAUGAGAUUGUACUGUGGCUAUGAAGAGUGGUAAGCCUAACAGGUCUCCAUGGGAGAUAUAUUAUGUAAGUAAAUAAACAAUGGUUUGCUGGUUCAAAAUAAGUUGGAAUUAUCAUUUUGGCUAAUGAGUGACUUAUGGUAACCUAAGAUUCUAUUUUGUAAUAGCCAAUGUUAUUAAACCUUUACUAUUUAACAAACAUUUCAAAAUCAAACUCUAGAUUAUCAUGUGAAUCAGCCAAUAUGAAAAUGGUUUAAAUAAACAAUUUGGAUAAGCAUCAUGGUCUGGGUCAUAUUAUCUUUGAUAAUCCAUUAGUUAUCAGUGUUAUGCACCUAAAUUGGAAAAACAACUGAUAUUCAAGAGGACCUAAGUUCAAUGUUAAGCAUGGACUUUUGAAGAACCAGGACAGCCACUUUGUCCUCCUGAGCCCUUAAAACUUUUGUUAUUAAAGGUUCUGCAUUCCAUGACUCAUUAUGGAAAAGAUAAAGUGAUCCAAAUUAAAUAUAUUGAUGUGGUGACUUAUAAAUUGCAGAAAUAGUUUAAAACCAAUGUUUGAUUCCAUAUUCCUGGGAAAACAAUCAAAGUGUAAGGUACAUUUGGCUUCCUGAUGGGACAUUUAAACAUUUAUAAAGGGAUUUCAUUUAAUUGUCAUUUUCAGUACAUGUUUUCUGGUUGUAUAAAGGUUUCCCAUGCAAGAGGGCUGAUGUUAUAACAAUGGAUUAUUAUGCUGUGGUAUAUUUUCACCAGGUAAAGAAAGCUUUUCAUGGUUCACUGAGGCCAAUCCCUUCACAGUCUAGAACCCAAAGAUUGGAUCUUCU